CAGUAGCCGCGGGAAUACGUAGGGUGCAAGCGUUAAUCGGAAUUACUGGGCGUAAAGCGUGCGCAGGCGGUUGGUUAAGACAGAUGUGAAAUCCCCGGGCUCAACCUGGGAACUGCAUUUGUGACUGGCCAGCUAGAGUAUGGCAGAGGGGGGUGGAAUUCCACGUGUAACAGUGAAAUGCGUAGAGAUGUGGAGGAACACCGAUGGCGAAGGCAGCCCCCUGGGCCAAUACUGGCGCUCAUGCACGAAAGCGUGGGGAGCAAACAGGAUUAGAUACCCCAGUAGUCCCUGUCUCUUAUAC
rnacentral:rRNA from 1 species